UAAAUUUUGGGUAAUUGCGGUCUAGCUAGACUAGGCUGAGGAAAGUCCAUGCUCGCACAAGCUGAGAUGCUUGUAGUGUUCGUGCUUAGCGAAAAAAUAAGCUAAGGCCUUUAUAGAAAUAUAAAGUAACGGCAGAAAAAAAGUGCUAAGGUUACUUGUAACUAUGCCUGAGUAUUCUUGAAAAGUGCCACAGUGACGAAGCAUUAGUGGAAACGCUAAUGGUGGAACGCGGUAAACCCCUCGAGCGAGCAACCCAAACUUUGGUAGGGGCACUCUUUCUAAGGAAUUCAACGAGAGAAAGAGGCAAGUAAUUGCAGACAGAUAAUUACCUCCGGAUAAAAGAGACCCUGACUUUUUAUCUGAGACAGAACAUGGCUUACAGAAAUU
rnacentral:RNase_P_RNA from 1 species